AUUGAACGCUGGCGGCAGGCUUAACACAUGCAAGUCGAGCGGGGGAAGGUAGCUUGCUACCGGACCUAGCGGCGGACGGGUGAGUAAUGCUUAGGAAUCUGCCUAUUAGUGGGGGACAACAUCUCGAAAGGGAUGCUAAUACCGCAUACGUCCUACGGGAGAAAGCGGGGGAUCUUCGGACCUUGCGCUAAUAGAUGAGCCUAAGUCGGAUUAGCUAGUUGGUGGGGUAAAGGCCUACCAAGGCGACGAUCUGUAGCGGGUCUGAGAGGAUGAGCCGCCACACUGGGACUGAGACACGGCCCAGACUCCUACGGGAGGCAGCAGUGGGGAAUAUUGGACAAUGGGGGGAACCCUGAUCCAGCCAUGCCGCGUGUGUGAAGAAGGCCUUAUGGUUGUAAAGCACUUUAAGCGAGGAGGAGGCUACUCUAGUUAAUACCUAGGGAUAGUGGACGUUACUCGCAGAAUAAGCACCGGCUAACUCUGUGCCAGCCGCCGCUGUAACAC
rnacentral:rRNA from 1 species